rnacentral:rRNA from 1 species
UGGGGAAUCUUGCGCAAUGGGCGAAAGCCUGACGCAGCCAUGCCGCGUGAAUGAUGAAGGUCUUAGGAUUGUAAAAUUCUUUCAGUGGGGACGAUAAUGACGGUACCCACAGAAGAAGCCCCGGCUAACUUCGUGCCAGCAGCCGCGGUAAUACGAAGGGGGCUAGCGUUGCUCGGAAUUACUGGGCGUAAAGGGCGCGUAGGCGGAUCGUUAAGUCAGAGGUGAAAGCCCAGGGCUCAACCCUGGAAUUGCCUUUGAUACUGGCGAUCUUGAGUACGGGAGAGGUGUGUGGAACUCCGAGUGUAGAGGUGAAAUUCGUAGAUAUUCGGAAGAACACCAGUGGCGAAGGCGACACACUGGCCCGUUACUGACGCUGAGGCGCGAAAGCGUGGGGAGCAAACAG